AGCGCAACCCUAUCAUUAGUUGCCAUCAGGUCAAGCUGGGGACUCUAAUGAAACUGCCUACGCAAGUAGUGAGGAAGGUGGGGAUGACGUCAAAUCAGCACGGCCCUUACGUCCAGGGCUACACACGUGCUACAAUGGCCGGUACAAAGGGCAGCUACCUGGUGGCAGGAUGCUAAUCUCCAAAGUCGGUCUCAGUUCGGAUCGGAGUCUGCAACCCGACUCCGUGAAGUUGGAUUCGCUAGUAAUCGCGCAUCAGCCAUGGCGCGGUGAAUACGUUCCCGGGCCUU
rnacentral:rRNA from 1 species